rnacentral:lncRNA from 1 species
AACAUUGUAUCUCUUUUUUCUCCUUCUCAAAUAUUCCGUAGAUUGCUAAUCCUCGUGUUCCUAAAUCCUCCAUCGAUCCAGGAUGUUUACAUGGUAUCAAAGCGUGGAUCCUGAUUGAUCUCUUCGCACUGAAUCGAGCGAUGGUACCCUCGUUCAAUUUCGAGAAAAUUCAUUAUCUUCUUUUUUUCUCUCUCGCACAAAAUAUAAUCUUCGAUUUUUCUUCGAAUUUCUUGCAAUUUCCAUCUUAUAUCCUCAAUAUCUCAGUCAAUUUGAAGUUUUUCCUUUGGUUUCCAGUUGGAGACUGUUGUUGUUGAAGUUAGGAUUCAAGUAUUGUUUUGAAGCUAGGGUUCGAGCUCACCGUCGAAGUUAGGGUUUUUGAUUUGCAGCCUUCAAAUCUUGUUUUUUAGAUUCUCGUGAUUAUCAAGGCCGUGCUCUUUUCGAUUGCAAAAGAGGCUGGUAAUAUCAUUUUUUCUCAAAAUCUAUGUUAUAAAGUAGAGCUGUUGACUACUCCUUGAACUUUGAAGAUUGUUGUUGUGAUAUUUUGUGUUUUGGUGUAUUUUGGAUUGUGAAAAUGGGUAGUACUGACGGAACUAUUGAUUCCUCCAGUCCAAUGUUCCUUCC